rnacentral:rRNA from 1 species
GAUGAACGCUGACAGAAUGCUUAACACAUGCAAGUCUUUGGCGAAGCUGUGCUUGCACAGCCUAGCCAAGGCGGACGGGUGAGUAACGCGUAAGGAACUUGCCCUGCAGUCAGGGAUAACAGACGGAAACGACUGAUAAGACCUGGUAAAGUCAGGCGGACUCAUGUCCAGCCUGAUGAAAAGAGAUGCUGCAGGAGAGCCUUGCGUCCUAUUAGCUUGUUGGUGGGGUAACGGCCCACCAAGGCGAUGAUAGGUAGCCGGCCUGAGAGGGUGGACGGCCACAAGGGGACUGAGAUACGGCCCUUACUCCUACGGGAGGCAGCAGUGGGGAAUAUUGGGCAAUGGGGGCAACCCUGAUCCAGCAAUUCUGUGUGCACGAUGAAGGUUUUCGGAUUGUAAAGUGCUUUCAGCAGGGAAGAAAAAAAUGACGGUACCUGCAG